rnacentral:lncRNA from 1 species
ACCACAUCGAAAUUCCCUAGCUUGCGCAGGGCUAGCAAAUCUACGGGUAUGAUCCAAUCUCCUACCCGAACAGGGCAACUAGGGCAAUACUCUCUAAUAUCCAGGGUGUGGUCGGGUACUACAACAUGUCCCGGAUGCAACAAGAAAACCAAAGGGGAUGCCAUGCAACUCGGCAAAUAGCCGAUCUAUAAAUAAAUGCGAUGCACCGGUAUCAAAUAAAGCACGAACUCUAAUGCCAUCAAGUAAAAUGAUACCUGCAACCACAUCCUCGGCUGCUGCCGCCUCCUCAGUAUGAGCGGCAUACAAACGCCCACUCGGGCCCUAUCGGGAUCCCUCGCUCUGGCGCUGGACGAGUGGCCGCCCAGGCUGGUACUGUGUUGACGGAGUCCCGUGGCUGACGGCUGGUAGAGCCGGUGCCGAUGCAGUCGACGGUGCCGGUGAAGAACCUCUCGGGCACUCAGUACGGAUGUGGCCCUCCUGGCCACACUCGUAGCACCUGC